rnacentral:lncRNA from 1 species
UCUCCGUCUGGUGGUGUGUUUUUUAAAUAGUAUAAUAUUGUCUUGGUUGGUAGGAAAAUCUGUCUUCAUUAUGCGAUACAAUGGAGAUUAUGGGAUAUUUAUAAUAAUUAUAGAACCGGAGGAGACGAUCAUUUUUGGUCUUUUCUUUGCUUCUUGUGUCCUCUUUUCUACAAUAUUUUCCACAACAUGCAAACCCUCCAUACGAUUCCAAAGUUCCUCACGAGCCGAUACCGCACGGGAAUCCAAAAAGAUGGGCGAUCAGAGCCUCAAAAAGCGUCCACUUCCUGGUGUCCAUUUCCAGUCCCAACCCCCAAUGAUUUCCUAUUUUAAUCCCCGUC